AGCGAACGUUUGCGGCGGGCCUAACACAUGCAAGUCGAACGCACUAGCAAUAGUGAGUGGCGCACGGGUGCGUAACACGUGGGUAAUCAACCCUUCAGCCUGGGAUAACGACUCGAAAGGGUCGCUAAUACCGGAUACGGCGCGAGAGGCUUCGGCUUCUCACGAGAAAGCCACGCAAGGGGCACUGAAGGACGAGCCUGCGGCCCAUCAGCUAGUUGGUGAGGUAAGAGCUCACCAAGGCUAAGACGGGUAGCUGGUCUGAGAGGAUGAUCAGCCACACUGGAACUGAGACACGGUCCAGACUCCUACGGGAGGCAGCAGUGGGGAAUAUUGCGCAAUGGGCGAAAGCCUGACGCAGCCACGCCGCGUGAGCGAUGAAGGUCUUCGGAUCGUAAAGCUCUGUGGGGGGAGAAGAAGAAGCGGUCGAGAGCGGCCCGUCGACGGUAGUCCCUUACGCGAAGACACCGGCCGUAACUACCGUCGCC
rnacentral:rRNA from 1 species